GUACAGGUUUUUGUUAUUCUGUGAUUCCUGUGUUCGAUUUGGGGAAAUAGAAAUCAAAGUUGGAUUUGGUUCAUUAUUGAGGUUCAUCGAGACCGUGAAGCAGCUUCCCUCGAAAGAUCCCAUUUGAAAUAAAAUUGAGGUCCAAAUUCUUCAACUAUAUCUCUUUUCAUUUUGUCUGUGAUGUCAUUGAUUUGUGUAAUUCAUGUUUGAGUUUGAUGGUUAAUUUGUGAUUGUGUGUUUGAGUUUUUUUAAUUAUCACAGUUUUAUUGGUUGAUUUAAUUGAGACUUAUUUAAUCAUGUUGGUUGAAACAAAUUUGGGGACAGGAAUCGAAAAUUGAUAAAAGUGAAUAUUAUGAUUUUUUUGAUA